rnacentral:rRNA from 1 species
UACGUAGGGUGCAGGCGUUAAUCGGAAUUACUGGGCGUAAAGCGUGCGCAGGCGGUCUGCUAAGAGAGAUGUGAAAGCCCCGGGCUUAACCUGGGAACUGCGUUUCUAACUGGCAGGCUUGAGUGUGGCAGAGGGGGGUGGAAUUCCACGUGUAGCAGUGAAAUGCGUAGAGAUGUGGAGGAACACCGAUGGCGAAGGCAGCCCCCUGGGCUAACACUGACGCUCAUGCACGAAAGCGUGGGGAGCAAACAGG